AUUCAAAUCUCUCAAGAUAACAAGUAAUUAAUUUUUGAUAUACAUCAAAGAAUUAUAAAUACUAUGCGGCAACAGAGGUGCAAGACAGGAAAAGUACUGCUGCAGAGCAAGACAUGGAAGAGAAACAUUGUUUAAUAUAGGCAAUUUAACUUUCUCUAAUUGAAUUUGUGAUGCCUAAUAGAAUACAUACAGAAGUUUAGCUUGAACAUCUUGCUGAAUAUUGCGAUGCCGUAAUCCUGGUGAAAGAUACAGCAGUUUAUUAUUUAUGAAGUUAUUGCAGCAUCAAGGCAACAAUUGCUUCAUUCUGAAAAAAAUUAGUAUAUUGUACAGAAGAUAUGAACUGGCUAAUUACAAUAUGACUAGAGAACCAGAAACCUACUAUAAUUUAUUAAUAUCUAUUGUAUAAGCCUAUAUAAUGAAUGUUGAUGCCUAAUAAUUUACAUUUUGUGAUUUUGGUUAUGGAAAUAAAAAAUAUAAGUAGUG